UAAUGCUUGGGAAUCUAGCUUAUGGAGGGGGAUAACUACGGGAAACUGUAGCUAAUACCGCGUAGAAUCGGGAGAUGAAAGUGUGGGCCUUCGGGCCACAUGCCAUAGGAUGAGCCCAAGUGGGAUUAGGUAGUUGGUGAGGUAAAGGCUCACCAAGCCGACGAUCUCUAGCUGGUCUGAGAGGAUGACCAGCCACACUGGGACUGAGACACGGCCCAG
rnacentral:rRNA from 1 species